GAGUUUGAUCGUGGCUCAGGAUGAACGCUGGCGGCGUGCCUAAUACAUGCAAGUCGAGCGAACGGACGAGAAGCCUGCUUCUCUGAUGUUAGCGGCGGACGGGUGAGUAACACGUGGAUAACCUACCUAUAAGACUGGGAUAACUUCGGGAAACCGGAGCUAAUACCGGAUAAUAUUUUGAACCGCAUGGUUCAAAAGUAAAGACGGUCUUGCUGUCACUUAUAGAUGGAUCCGCGCUGCAUUAGCUAGUUGGUAAGGUAACGGCUUACCAAGGCAACGAUGCAUAGCCGACCUGAGAGGGUGAUCGGCCACACUGGAACUGAGACACGGUCCAGACUCCUACGGGAGGCAGCAGUAGGGAAUCUUCCGCAAUGGGCGAAAGCCUGACGGAGCAACGCCCCGUGAGUGAUGAAGGUCUUCGGAUCGUAAAACUCUGUUAUUAGGGAAGAACAUAUGUGUAAGUAACUGUGCACAUCUUGACGGUACCUAAUCAGAAAGCCACGGCUAACUACGUGGCAG
rnacentral:rRNA from 1 species